GUUUAAAUGCAAAUUGCAGCAGCAGGUAAAGAAACUUGUGUGAAUGUCAUGUAAACCAGCUUUCUCGGUAGCCUGGGUAAUAUCACUCCGCCUCUGUUGUAACCUAUGCUACCAAUUACA